rnacentral:pre_miRNA from 1 species
GAAGGUGAUCUUUACAUCUGGUCCACGGUGGUUUAUUGUUCAUCGUUUGUUUAUGAUAAACCAUCGUGCCGCAGAUGAUAAGAGCACCUUC